GAUGAACGCUAGCGGCAGGCUUAAUACAUGCAAGUCGAGGGGCAGCGCAGUGUAGCAAUACAUGGGCGGCGACCGGCAAACGGGUGCGGAACACGUACGCAACCUUCCUUUAAGUGGGGGAUAGCCCAGGGAAACUUGGAUUAAUACCCCGUAAUAUUAUGAAGUGGCAUCACUUUAUACUUAUAGCUCCGGCGCUUAAAGAUGGGCGUGCGACUGAUUAGGUAGUUGGCGGGGUAACGGCCCACCAAGCCUGCGAUCAGUAACUGGUGUGAGAGCACGACCAGUCACCCAGGCACUGAGACACGGGCCCGACUCCGACGGGAGGCAGCAGUACGGAAUAUUGGUCCAUGGACGCAAGUCUGAACCAGCCAUGCCGCGUGUAGGAUGAAGGUCCUCUGGAUUGUAAACUUCUUUUAUUUGGGAAGAAACCCACUGUUUCUACGGUGGUUGACGGUACCAGAUGAAUAAGCACCGGCUAACUCCGUGCCAGCCGCCGCAGUAAUAC
rnacentral:rRNA from 1 species